GAGGAAUAUUGGUCAAUGGGCGAGAGCCUGAACCAGCCAAGUCCCGUGAAGGAAGACUGCCUCAUGGGUUGUAAACUUCUUUUAUACAUGAAUAAAAAGGCUUACGUGUAGGCCAUUGUAAUUACUGUAUGAAUAAGCAUCGGCUAACUCCGAGCCAGCAGCCGCGGUAAUACGGAGGAUGCGAGCGUUAUCCGGAUUUAUUGGGUUUAAAGGGUGCGCAGGCGGGCUUUUAAGUCAGCGGUGAAAUCUGGACGCUUAACGUCCAAACUGCCGUUGAAACUGGGAGUCUUGAGUAUGGAUGAAGUGGGCGGAAUUCGUUGUGUAGCGGUGACAUGCAUAGAUAUAACGAGGAACUCCAAUUGCGUAGGCAGCUUACUAAGCCAUAACUGACGCUCAUGCACGAAAGCGUGGGGAUCAAACA
rnacentral:rRNA from 1 species